UACGAAGGGGGCUAGCGUUGCUCGGAAUCACUGGGCGUAAAGGGUGCGUAGGCGGUUUGGUAAGUCUUAUGUGAAAUCUACAGGCUCAACUUGUAGUCUGCAUGAGAAACUGCCGGGCUUGAGUAUGGGAGAGGUGAGUGGAAUUCCUGGUGUAGCGGUGAAAUGCGUAGAUAUCAGGAGGAACACCUGUGGCGAAAGCGGCUCACUGGACCAUAACUGACGCUGAUGCACGAAAGCUAGGGGAGCAAACAGG
rnacentral:rRNA from 1 species